GAAAAAACGAUGAAGAGGAUAAGUAAUUUUAUGAAAUAGGGGUUAACAGAGAGCCGGAUAAGCUGAGAACCGGUGAUCCCGCAUAAAAUGAACUCACCUCUGAGUAUCAGCCUGAAAGAGAAAUCAAGUAGGGGUGGUCGGGUGUUUACACACACUCGUUACUAAAAAAGGAACAGAAUGUAGUUCAUGAGAGCACGCUAGAAAAGCGUGAACAAGGGUGGUACCGUGGAACAGGUUGCAAAGCCUUUUCAUCCCUAUG
rnacentral:ncRNA from 1 species